rnacentral:rRNA from 1 species
UACGUAGGGGGCGAGCGUUAUCCGGAUUCAUUGGGCGUAAAGCGCGCGUAGGCGGCCGCCUAAGCGGAACCUCUAACCCCGGGGCUCAACCUCGGGCCGGGUUCCGGACUGGGCGGCUCGAGUGCGGUAGAGGAGAGCGGAACUCCAUGUGUAGCGGUGAAAUGCGUAGAUAUAUGGAAGAACACCAGUGGCGAAAGCGGCUCUCUGGUCUGUAACUGACGCUGAGGUUCGAAAGCGUGGGUAGCAAACAGG